rnacentral:tRNA from 1 species
GCCCCAUUGGCGCAGUCGGUUAGCGCGUCGUACUUAUAAGUGAGUGAGAGAUGCGAAGGUCAGCAGUUCGAGCCUGCUAUGGGGCA